GUCUACAUGGAAACUUUCUCUGAAGCACCACAAGCUGGGCAAGCUCUCCUGCUUUUAUUCCAUAUGGGAAAGGAUCCUUCAUGGACAUUGCUCUGGGUUCUACUGACCAUUAGCAGCUAAGGUA